CCAACGCUUUCGAUUACAUUUAGAUAGUGAGUAUAACAUUGGAUAAUAUUAGUAUUGUUUUUAAUACACGGUCCAAUGAUAUCUCCUAAUUUUUUACCAACUGUACCGUUAAUAGGUACAGGAACAUCUAUUUCAUUUUUUCGCGUCCAUAUCCAAGGUUUUUUACAUUCCCUUGGGUUGAAUAAUUCAGACGACACAACAUCGGGAUCGUCUAAUAUCGUAUUUUCGUUGUAAGGUAAAGGACAACGAGCUAUAUCUUUUCCUGUGUAAUAUUCUUGUUUUUGUAAUUUUAACUGUAUAAAUGCUGGAUAUUCUUUGAUGAGUAUAUUCAAAUCGUCAAUAGUAAUAGAUGUUUGAUUUUCAGUAUACUGACUAAAUUUAUCAUUUGUAUAAACACUUAUAA